rnacentral:rRNA from 1 species
ACAGAUCGUUCAGAGUUUGAUCCUGGCUCAGGAUGAACGCUGGCGGCGUGCUUAACACAUGCAAGUCGAACGAUGAAGCCGGAGCUUGCUCUGGUGGAUUAGUGGCGAACGGGUGAGUAACACGUGAGUAACCUGUCCUUGACUCUGGGAUAAGCGUUGGAAACGACGUCUAAUACCGGAUACGAGCUUCAGUCGCAUGACUAGGAGCUGGAAAGAAUUUCGGUCAAGGAUGGACUCGCGGCCUAUCAGCUAGUUGGUGAGGUAACGGCUCACCAAGGCGACGACGGGUAGCCGGCCUGAGAGGGUGACCGGCCACACUGGGACUGAGACACGGCCCAG